rnacentral:rRNA from 1 species
UGGGGAAUUUUGGACAAUGGGGGAAACCCUGAUCCAGCCAUCCCGCGUGUGCGAUGAAGGCCUUCGGGUUGUAAAGCACUUUUGGCAGGAAAGAAACGUCAUGGGUUAAUACCCCGUGAAACUGACGGUACCUGCAGAAUAAGCACCGGCUAACUACGUGCCAGCAGCCGCGGUAAUACGUAGGGUGCAAGCGUUAAUCGGAAUUACUGGGCGUAAAGCGUGCGCAGGCGGUUCGGAAAGAAAGAUGUGAAAUCCCAGAGCUCAACUUUGGAACUGCAUUUUUAACUACCGGGCUAGAGUGUGUCAGAGGGAGGUGGAAUUCCGCGUGUAGCAGUGAAAUGCGUAGAUAUGCGGAGGAACACCGAUGGCGAAGGCAGCCUCCUGGGAUAGCACUGACGCUCAUGCACGGAAGCGUGGGAAGCAAACAGG